GACGAACGCUGGCGGCGUGCUUAACACAUGCAAGUCGAACGGUGAUGCGGAGCUUGCUCCGCGGAUCAGUGGCGAACGGGUGAGUAACACGUGAGUAACCUGCCCUCGACUCUGGGAUAAGCGUUGGAAACGACGUCUAAUACCGGAUACGACCCGUGGAGGCAUCUCCUACGGGUGGAAGAAGUUUCGGUCGAGGAUGGACUCGCGGCCUAUCAGCUUGUUGGUGAGGAAUGGCUCACCAAGGCGACGACGGGUAGCCGGCCUGAGAGGGUGGACCGGCCACACUGGGACGUGAGACACGGCCCAGACUCCUACGGGAGGGCAGCAGUGGGGAAGUAAUUGCACAAUGGGCGCAAGCCUGAUGCAGCAA
rnacentral:rRNA from 1 species